rnacentral:rRNA from 1 species
GUGGGGAAUAUUGGACAAUGGGCGCAAGCCUGAUCCAGCAAUGCCGCGUGGGUGAAGAAGGCCUUCGGGUUGUAAAGCCCUUUUGUACGGAAAGAAAUCCUGGUGGUUAAUACCCGCCGGGGAUGACGGUACCGUAAGAAUAAGCACCGGCUAACUUCGUGCCAGCAGCCGCGGUAAUACGAAGGGUGCAAGCGUUAAUCGGAAUUACUGGGCGUAAAGCGUGCGUAGGUGGUUUCUUAAGUCUGUCGUGAAAGCCCUGGGCUCAACCUGGGAAUGGCGAUGGAUACUGGGAGGCUAGAGUGCGGUAGAGGAUGGCGGAAUUCCCGGUGUAGCGGUGAAAUGCGUAGAGAUCGUGAGGAACAUCUGUGGCGAAGGCGGCCAUCUGGACCAGCACUGACACUGAGGCACGAAAGCGUGGGGAGCAAACAGGAUUAGAAACCCGAGUAGUCC